ACCAAUGGGAGCGCGGCGCGCUUCGUGGUGGGCGGGGAUUCCGGAGGCGCCGACCAAUGGGAGCGAGGCGAGCGCGGGCGGCGGCCAAUGGGAGCGCGCGGGGGAAAUUUGAAGCGGCGGCGGCGGCGGCGGCGGCGACAGAGAAGGGCGGCGGGAUGGCACAGAAGGAGAACGUGGCCCCCAGCCUGACCAAGAGUUUGGUCCCUCCCCCCCUGCGGGUGCCCUGCAAGGACCCCCAGGGCUCGGAGCCCCCCGGGAAGGCUCUGCCAGGUACGGGG